rnacentral:piRNA from 1 species
UUCAAGGUCAUACCACAGGAAACACAAGCCCC